rnacentral:rRNA from 1 species
AACGAACGCUGGCGGCAUGCCUAACACAUGCAAGUCGAACGGGAUCCUAGCUAGCUAGGUGAGAGUGGCGGACGGGUGAGUAACACGUGGGAAUCUGCCUUUUGGUUCGGGAUAACCGCGGGAAACUGCGGCUAAUACCGAAUGCCCUCGAGAGAGGAAAGAUUUAUCGCCAGAAGAGGAGCCCGCGUCCGAUUAGGUAGUUGGUGGGGUAAAGGCCUACCAAGCCGACGAUCGGUAGCUGGUCUGAGAGGAUGAUCAGCCACACUGGGACUGAGAUACGGCCCAGACUCCUACGGGAGGCAGCAGUGGGGAAUAUUGGACAAUGGGGCGAACCCUGAUCCAGCAAUGCCGCGUGAGUGAUGAAGGCCCUAGGGUUGUAAAGCUCUUUUACCAGGGAUGAUAAUGACAGUACCUGGAGAAUAAGCUCCGGCUAACUCCGUGCCAGCGGCCGCGGUAAU